AGGACAAACGCUGGCGGCGUGCCUAAGACAUGCAAGUCGGACGGGGGCUUUCGGGCCUCGAGUGGCGGACGGGUGAGGAGCGCGUGGAGAACCUGCCCUGGGAUGGGGAUACCAGCCAGAAAUGGCUGUUAAGACCGCAUACGAUUGUCUGCCGGUAAGGGAGACAAGGAAAGCCGUAAGGCGUCCUGGGAGGGGUCCGCGUCGGAUUAGCUAGUUGGUGGGGUAAGGCCUACCAAGGCGACGAUCCGUAGCUGGUCUGAGAGGACGGCCAGCCACACUGGGACUGAGACACGGCCCAGACUCCUACGGGAGGCAGCAGUUAGGAAUUUUGACAAUGGGCGCAAGCCUGAUCGAGUGACGCCGCGUGUGGGAUGACGCCUUUUCGGGGUGUAAACCACUUUUCUUGGGGACGAGAACGGACGGUACCCGAGGAAGAAGCCUCGGCUAACUACGUGCCAGCAGCCGC
rnacentral:rRNA from 1 species